rnacentral:rRNA from 1 species
AUUGAACGCUGGCGGCAGGCUUAACACAUGCAAGUCGAGCGGAGCGGCGGACGGGUGAGUAAUGCCUAUGAAUCUGCAUGGUCGUGGGGGAUAACGUUCGGUAACGGGCGCUAAUACCGCAUCCUAUCAGAUGAGCCUAGGCCGGAUUAGCUAGUUGGUGGGGUAAAGGCAUACCAAGGCGACGAUCCGUAACUGGUCUGAGAGGAUGAUCAGUCACACUGGAACUGAGACACGGUCCAGACUCCUACGGGAGGCAGCAGUGGGGAAUAUUGGACAAUGGGCGAAAGCCUGAUCCAGCCAUGCCGCGUGUGUGAAGAAGGUCUUCGGAUUGUAAAGCACUUUAAGUUGGGAGGCGUUACCAACAGAAUAAGCACCGGCUAACUUCGUGCCAGCAGCCGCGGUAAUUC